rnacentral:rRNA from 1 species
CGGGUGAGUAAUACAUCGGAACGUGCCCAGACGUGGGGGAUAGCUCGGCGAAAGCCGGAUUAAUACCGCAUAAGCUCUGAGGAGGAAAGCGGGGGACCGUAAGGCCUCGCGCGUUUGGAGCGGCCGAUGGCAGAUUAGGUAGUUGGUGGGGUAAAGGCUUACCAAGCCUACGAUCUGUAGCUGGUCUGAGAGGACGACCAGCCACACUGGGACUGAGACACGGCCCAGACUCCUACGGGAGGCAGCAGUGGGGAAUUUUGGACAAUGGGCGAAAGCCUGAUCCAGCAAUGCCGCGUGCAGGAUGAAGGCCUUCGGGUUGUAAACUGCUUUUGUACGGAACGAAAAGGCGCCUAUUAAUACUGGGUGUUGAUGACGGUACCGUAAGAAUAAGCACCGGCUAACUACGUGCCAGCAGCCGCGGUAAUACGUAGGGUGCGAGCGUUAAUCGGAAUUACUGGGCGUAAAGCGUGCGCAGGCGGUGUUGUAAGACAGUUGUGAAAUCCCCGGGCUCAACCUGGGAACUGCAUCUGUGACUGCAAUGCUGGAGUG